rnacentral:tRNA from 1 species
AAAGACCUAUAGGACCCUCUCCUACAUCAC